rnacentral:pre_miRNA from 1 species
CUAUUCAGAAGGGGACAGUUUGCUUAGACUGUGUGUAACCUGUGCCCUUCUGAGUAGC